UACGUAGGGGGCAAGCGUUGUCCGGAUUUAUUGGGCGUAAAGAGCGUGUAGGCGGUUAUGCAGGUCCGCUGUGAAAACUGGAGGCUUAACCUCCAGACGUCGGUGGAAACCGUAUAACUAGAGUCCUGAAGAGGAGAGUGGAAUUCCUGGUGUAGCGGUGAAAUGCGCAGAUAUCAGGAAGAACACCCGUGGCGAAGGCGGCUCUCUGGGACGGUACUGACGCUGAGACGCGAAAGCGUGGGGAGCGAACAGG
rnacentral:rRNA from 1 species